rnacentral:RNase_P_RNA from 1 species
AGUACAAAUUGGGUUAUCGCGCUUGUGAAAAAUCAAGUGAGGAAAGUCCGGACAGCAUAGAGUAGUACACCACCUAACGGGUGGGGUCUUAUGAAAAUAAGAUACAGCAAGUGCCACAGAGAAUUACCGCCAUGCAAAUGGUAAGGGUGAAAAUGUAGGGUAAGAGCCUACGGAAUUUAUUGGUAACAGUAAAUUGGGGUAAACCUUGUACGCUGAAAUGCCAAAUAGGUCAGGAAUUUGCGGUUACUCGCUGCAAUCAUCUUCGGAUGUUUCCUGAUGGGUUGGCAGAUGGAGGUUCGUUGCGAAGCGAAUCCUAGAUAAAUGAUAGCCCAAAAGUGCUUGCACUUUGGACAGAAUCCGGCUUAUAGAUUUGUAAUAAAA